UUAAACUUCAUGUUUUGGUUACUGGAUUUUAUUACAUAUAGCUCUAAUCUUGCACACACUGCAUUAGAAAACACUGAAAGCCAACAGCGUACAAACCGCCCAGCUCCUCUCAACAUUAUAAAGAACUUAAAUAUUUUAUGUUUACACAACAAGCUGCUGUUUUUGGAAUAAAUAACGGGGAUUUUGAUUCAGCGUUGCAUUGAAAAAACAAGUAAAAAGCACCCUCCACACACCAGAUCUCAACCCAGGCCUGCACCUUCGAGGUGUGGAAAAGGAGAACGUUCACUGAAAUGGAGAAGCAGCUGAACUACCUGCAGCAACAUGCCAUCAUGAUGGAUAAGAAUCUCGGUAGGAGAAAACCGUGCCUAAUAAAGUGACCAGUGCUAGUAGAGUACAUGGUUGCAGAAGAAACAGAGAUGAUUUUCAGCAUGACAAAUAAUAAUAAUAAUAAUGCAUUGAACUUAUAAAGCGCUUUUCUAGACACCCAAAGACGCUUUCACACACUCUCCCAUUCACACACUGCUAGUGAUGGUAAGCUACUUGUAGCCACAGCCGCCCUGGGGAGGUCUGACAGAGGCGAGGCUGCCAUUUGGCGCCGUCGGCCCCUCUGACCACCACUAACACAGGCAAGUUGGGUGAGGUGUCUUGCCCAAGGACACAACAGCAGGAUACCCCUGGCGGGAGCUGGAAUCGAACCCAUGACCCUCCGAUCAUGAGGCAACCCGCUCUACCGCCUGAGCUACUGCUGCCCCAAAUGUUGAUUUCCAUGCAAAUGUGUGUAAAUAGCAGAUAAUGUAACUUGUGUUAAAAAAAAAUAAACAAAUAAACGAUUUGAAUAUUUUGCCCAGUAGAUUAAUUUAAGCAUGGAUGAAAGGAUUUCAUAAAGGUUGAAGAGAAAAUGUCAUUUUGGGGCUCUAAGAGUAAAAAACAUUCCAAAGAAAGCUUUUUAAAUGCAGUUCAUCAAAAAAUAAUAAAAGAGAAGAAAGUCAAGUAUUGUUUUGAGGCGGGUUGGUCGUUUGUUUUCAGUCUUCCCUCUGGGGAAAUCUACAGUUGGGGAUGCAGUCCUGAGAAUAACAAACAACAUUAGCUCACAACGCUGACUUUGCUUUUUUAUUGUUAGCUUAGACCGUGGUGAACUAUUGCAAGUGUGUUUGCGUUAGCAUUUAUGUGUGGCUGUGUUGAACCAAACUGAUGCACAGCUGACUUGAUCAGAGUAAAAUACCCAGCAUGAGCACAUUAAAGGGUUUGUGUGGGGGGGGGGGGUCAGAAUCCUGCAACCACCCUCUGCAUAGAACUACGAUAAAUGACUAGCACAAACAUUCAAGAAAAUGCAUUUAAUCUAUGUAGAAUCUAACAUUUUUAAUCCUCAAUCGCAUACCGUCCUGCACACGAACACAUGACUGCAGUCUGAAUAUUUGAGUAAGCCACAGUUCUCACAGAGAAACACGGGAGCAAUGACAGCUGCCUGGUCAAGGUUAUAGGCUGAUGUAACAAAUUUACUUCAUCCUCCUGCUAUCAACAUCAACUUCCUCUUUUCUUACACACACACACACACACACACACACACACACACACACACACACACACACACACACACACACACACACACACACACACACACACACACACACACACACACACACACACACACACAGAUUUGCCUACAGAUGAUGAAACCAUGUGAAACUGCUCAUUUUGGAUCUAAUGAUUCAACAGUGGUUGUCUUCCAAACCAGUGGGUCCACCCGGCACACUAAAUCCAAAUCUGUUGGAGCACUUUGUUCACUGUCUGAGUUAUAAUUUGUUUCUCUCGUUUUUAAUUUUUAAUUUUUCUCCACAUUUUAAUUUGGGAAAAACACAAAGCCAUAACCUCUAACAAACAGGGAAAAACAACCUGAUUUCUAGAUUUCCUCACAUCCUUUAGACCAGGGCUAUUCAAGUUUGGGCCUCGAGGGCCGGUAUCCAGCACGUUUUAGUGGUUUCUCUGCUCCAACACACUAUACUGGUUGAAUCACCUGUGCAGCAGCUCAUCAGGUGUGUUGAAGCAAGGCUAAAACCAAGACAUGCUGGAUACCAGCCCUUGAGGCCCAGAAUUGAAUAGCCCUGCUUUAAACCAUCAGUGGCUUCCUCCUAAAUUAAAAGGUAAAUGGCUUGUGUUUGAUAGCCUGGCCUGCCAGACUCCUCCUCUGUUUAAUUCUGCACAAAGGGUCUGGGAACUCUUCUAUUCAAACAACCCCACCCCCUGAGAAUUUGAACCGAGCCAAUCAGCGCUGAGCAGCGUACGUCACACACCACAACACCGAGUUUGUCAUAAACAUGGCGACUGAAGCGGAGAUCGCUGCGGCUCUUUCCUCUAUUCUAAAUUACUUGAACGUGUCUUCAAAUCAAAAACAAAUAGAAGCGCUAAAAGCCUUUCUUCUAAAGAAAGAUGUUUGCACCGUCGCCAGAAGCCAUUUUUGACUACAGCUAAAAAACUACAACAACGCGGACGUCACUCACGGCGGCGCUCAGUUUCUCAAACAACGAAGACAGCGGCGGAGUUCACUGCGGCUCUUUCCUCUGUUCUAAAUGACUUGGAUGUCUUUAAAACGACAAGUUGAAACGCUAAAAGCCUUUCUUCUAAAUAAAAAAAGACGUUUGCGGCAUUGCCAGACGCCUUGUUUUACUGCAGCUGAAAAAUGACAGCGUUGCGCGGUGCAGUCUGCAUUUACAUCUUUGUACUGAUUGGUUAUUUCUGAGCUGCCUAGUCCCGCCCCUCAAGUGCCUUUCUGCCUGUGAGCUACCAGACUCUUUCUCUGUGCAGAAUUAAACAGACAAGUCUGGCAGACCAGGCUAUGUGUUUGAUAUAGCGCCUUCUAGAGUCCGGGAACCCCCCAAGGUGCUUUACAACACAAUCAGUCAUUCACCCAUUCACUCACACAUUCACACGCUGGUGGUGAUGAGCUACGAUGUAGCGACAGCUGCCCUGAAACACACUGACAGAGGCGAGGCUGCCGAGCACUGGCGCCAUCAGUCCCUCUAAGCACCACCAGCAGGCAAAGCGGGUUAAGUGUCUUGCACAAGGACACAACGAAAGCAACAGACUGAGCGGGGCUUGAACCCGCAACCUUCCAAUUAACGGGCGAGCACUCAACUUCUGUGCCACUGUCGCCGUCACCCAUUGGGUAAAUUACACAAAGGGCUUGAAUGUUCCCCAAAGAAGUGUUUCUAGAGUUAGUACUUAAGGAUGUAGGGAUGCUUUAGAUCUGAAAUACUGUUUAAACAUUGCACACAAGGGUUUUUCAAUUUAAAUGUUCGACAAAUAAAUGAGACGGAAAUCUGUUCCAGUUUUUUAAAUAUCUUUUUAUUUGUAAGAAUCAAGUAAAAUCUUAAAAUGCAGAAACUUGAAGUACGUUUUAUGGUAAUUAAAAUUAUAGUUUGUUUUUCCAAAACAACAAAAAACUGAAAAUAUAAGUAAUAAGAUGUAGAUGUCCCCUCUUGUUGUUCGUUCCUUGACAGCCGUGUCUGCUUGCAUAAAUGUAAAUAACUUUAUUGGCAAAAUCAAUGUUGGCCUCGAGUCUUUCUUCCAGGGAGUUGGACAGAGGCAUCCUGUAGUAGACUGAGCUGCAUCAAUUCUUUUUCAACCUGCGUCUCAUCUUUUCUAUGGUUUUCUGCACCGUUUUCAUUGUUGGAGGGUGAUUUUCUCUUUUCUGUCACUGUGAAAAAGAUAAACCCCAUUUUCUCAGUGUUGAGCAUUUAUCUGGAUGCUCAUUUCACCACUCACUUUCCACCGUGGCAAACAAUACUCACAGCAGAGAAGCUACUCCGUAAAACAUUAUAUGUCUCGGACAUCAGCCCUCGGUGUUGUGGCAUAAACUGUUUAUCACGGUGAAAGCUUGUUGUGGAAGUUGGAGAUUUUUUUUUAUUUCACUUAAUUUAUUUCAUUUGUAAAAUGUUUUACCACCACGAAUCACGAUGGCCCUCUGCGGCGCUAAAAGCAGGAUUGGGUUCUUUUUGCCACAAGCCGCUUUUGGGACAAGCCAAUUUCCACAGUUAACAUAGGGCCAGACAGGAAAUCACACACUGUUUCAGUGAUAAUUUUCUAAAUAAAAGACUAUUGCCACGAUGAGAUUUCAUAUCUAUGUAGCUUAAAUCUAUAGGAGUGACCUAACAAUGUUUUUUUGCUACAUGCAUGCAUUCUGCUCUCUGAGCUCCGGCGUCUCUGCCAAGCUAAGUGGUUGGAUUGAAAAGAUUCACGCACCGCUCCUUUCCAUCCGGGCAGAAUCAAAUUCAGAACCCUGCUUCCCCUGGACUGUAAACACCAACACACUCUCUUCGAGUAGCUAGCAGAGAUCUCCACAUUUGUAAGAAGAGAUGUUUUUCUUAUAUAGUGUGCACUUUUGCUCAUGCAAAGAAUGUGAAAAUGUAUUUUUGAGGUACAGAAAUGAGCCUAAAGGAAAAUUUCUACACAAACCUAAAGCCACCUUUUAAAAAUUAGCACUUUCUUAAAGCAUCAUAAUGUGUUUUUAAAAUCCAUGGCAGGUAUCAAACAGGAUCUGAAAAUAACGUAUCGGUCCAUAGACUCCCAUUCAUUUUUUAUUUUUAUUUUUUUGACAGUAGGGGACCCAGGGACUGGAAUUAGGCUCCCGUAGUUCACUGCUAGCAUGUGUUGCUGAUUUCUUUUUGAUGGUCCUGAUGCUGCUGGAGAAAUAGGGUUACUUUAUGAAAUGGAUGGAAUUCACAUGGGUGGAGGCAGGAUUUCAUCGAAUCCAAGCAUCUUAACCACCCCCUUCACCACAUUUUUAAGGAUCUCGGGAGCUCUUUCAGUGGGCGAAUGUUAAUGCCCCGGUGCUCCACUGAACGUUUUAGGAACUCUUUUAUUCCAGCUGCAGUGCGUUUUGACAAUGAGCAUUUCGUAUGAUUGUAUAUUUGAUAUUUUUAUAUUUUAUCAGGACCAGUGAAUGUUUUAUUGUGUGGAUGUGCAUGUUGUGUUUAAUUGUCCAAGGCAAUUCAAUUUCCCCCUUGGGGAUUAAUAAAGACAACCUUGAACCUUGAACCUUAACUCGGGUUUGACAAAACGUCUCAAGAAGAUGACUUAUGUUUCAGAACAAAUGACAUAAAGCCAACAGAAUAGUGUAAUCGUACAUGAGCCUGAAAGGUUUCAGAUAGCAUGAUGCAGGUCCUAUAAAAUAACACAAACUCCAAGUAUCAAUAAAACUUAAGUAGAGGGUGCAUAUCAGCGGUAUGUGCACUCAGCCGCUCUUCAAAAUACCUUAUUUCCUGCAAUGCUGUCACAAGGAUCCAGCGGUCUCUCUCGAGCUUGGAGUGAACACAUAAGGUAAGUAUGUGUGUAAGUGAAGGUUUUGACACAUAUAUAAUGGCAAAUGGAAGGAUAAUCGCUUGAAGGGGGAGAUAAGUAAUGUCCAGAGGGAGAAUUGAGGAAAAUAGUGUGAAAUGGAUAUGCUCAGGAGGUGACCUCUCUACCCCACACCGCUCUAUCUCCCUCAGACAAAAUGUUUCCCUCUAAACUGUGCAAUCUCUCUGCGUUCCCAUCUCUAAAUCAUCACGCCUCAAAACCACUCACUCCUCCUGCCUCCAUCCCCUCUCCGUCCCUGGCUUGAUUGCCUUUCUGUUCAACAACUGCAAGACGGCAUUUUCACAUUUCAUACUUGCUUCAGUGUUUUAAGAAUCAACUGCCCUCUGCAGCUGAGAAACAUUUAUGAGAGUGGUCAUGAAGUGCAUGGCCGGUCCAAACAACUAUCCGGGGAUGUGACCGCUCAUGUCAGUCCUCAUAAGCUGACAGAAGAGGGGGCAAAAAGAAAAAUGGGUCAAAAUGAAAGGGAAAGUAAAGGAGUGGAGGUAAAAGGGCUUUAUUCACAUGCUACUGUGCAGUUUUUCUGUGGUGAGUUUGCUCGUGCUCACACUCUCCAAUUCUGAGGUGGAAACUGAGAUUUGCCUUUAACAUUUUUUGCUUUAUUUUAUUUUAUUUUAUUUUUUACUAGUUACAUUAUUUUACUAAAGGAGAAAUAGAGCUUCUAAAAUCUUUUAUAAUCUCACCAGGAAUCAGAUUCCUGAUUGCAAGUAUUUGUCUUGUUGCCCAGUAAGACAAAGAUAUUAAAUAUUUCAUUUUUGUAGUAACAGCAUUAUUGGUACGAAGCACUGGAAGAAAAAAAAAUCUCAUAAAUAAAACACAAAUAAAUAAAUAAAACACAAAACAAUAUUUGCCUCUACAAACAUUAAACAAAACCACAAAGGUGUUGAACAGUUCUAGAUUUACUCGAUGUAUGAUCAAAACGCACAACAUUUUUAGACAAUAGUGUUUUACUCACUAGUUGUGAUUUACAAUGAUUUAAUUUUAGAAAUCCAGUUAAAUAUUUGGGUUAGAAGUACACAAGUUAAAAGAUUUAAAACUGAUUUUAACACAAACUGACUAUAAAUUUCUAAAAUCUGCAAAAAUCAGGAUAUAAAUUAGAAGCGCACCACCUUCUCGAAGCAGUGGAGAGGAUUUAUGGACCGAGAUUUAGUUUGACGACGGAGUGCAAAUACAGCUGUUUGUUUACUUAGAAGUCGCUCAUGGGACCUUACGUUGUGGUUCCAGUUUCUCAGCUAUUCAAAUGCAGGGCUCGUCAUGACAGAAUAAGUCCAGAAAGCUCUGGAACUUGAUGUUUGGUUGAUUUUCCCACAGUUGGAGCACAAAAUCGAUACCAUUUUCCUAAAGAAAAUUUUUUUUCCAACAGGUUUGCAGUGACCUCUAGUAUAGAUGAAUGACUGGCGAGUCAAUCUCUGUGAGGAAAAAGCUCUGACACUCUUGUUUCAGGAAGCAGGAGUUUAACAGAGGAGUGAAGAGCAAAAGAAAACAGCAUUUGGAGACUUGUUUCCUGAUUUUCAGUCAUUUGGCCUCUGAUUGGCCAACAGCAACACAGCUCUAGCACUGACUCUGUUUGCUUUGCAACGUUGAUGUUUCAUCUCCACAAAUAACUCAAGCCUGAGGGAGUCCUGCCAUUUUGUCGAGUUGCUAAUGCUAACGGUUAGCUUCUACUAGCUGAGACAUGCCCUGCUCUCUCCUGGACGCUGAACCAACAACCUUCCUUAUUGUGUGCCAAGAUGGGUGAGUCCAUGGUUGCUAAUUUUCCAACAUCUUAUAACAUUUUACAACAAUUGUCUCACUUUUCCAAUAAGAACGUUUCCUUGCAUCAAGGAGAGAGUGGACGAAUCAGCACGGAUUGGGAUAGUUUAAUGUCCAUUAUUGGGAUUUUGAGAGGUUAAGGACCAACAAACUGUUAGAGAGGAAAGUAUCUCUGUCUGGCCCCAAAACUAUUUCUAAUCGGAAUCUGGCGUCCUUGAGCCUGCAAGGCUCCAACGAAAACUCCCUCCUCAGAAGAUAUGUGGAAUGUGCCGUCGCUAUGGCAACUCAACUAUGUCUCCUUUCCCAGCCUGGGCGGGACUGUGGGAAGGCCGCUGAAACGUUCCAGGGUCACUGCAACCCUCCAACCCUCAAUGCUCCUCCCCCUAUCCACACUGAGGUGACAUGUGCUGCUUAUCGUGGCUGCAGGAACUGAAGUGGGGAUAGUCCCAACCCACCACCCCACCUAGUGGACACUUAUUUUGUGUUGUCCGAAGUCUGUUGCAUUUCUGUCUGAGGUGUUUUUUUUGCAGAACAAAGCUGCCCUCCCGGUGGAGGGUAACUCUGAAGUGCCUUUUUUCCCUCCACCUGAACCAAUCCUCAUGUAACCCUCUUAUCUCUAUUAAGGUAGCGCGACUCAGGGUUGCGGAUGACCACAGUCACCAAUUCUUGUCAUGUGUCUUGCCCGUAUCUGAUCUCUGAAUUGUGUGUACUGAAACUCUAAUUUCCCUCUGGGAUUAAUAAAGUAUCUUUGAUUGAUUGCUUACUUUCUACCAGCGGCUAAUGGAGAUAGGAGGCAGAAAACUAUAUUCAUAUUUAGCCUGAUGUGAAACGGAGUGACUAAUCGUACUUUUAAAAAGAAAUAAAGUAAAAAUUGGUUCCUCAGUGAACUUUCUCUUUAAAUUGUGGCUAGCUAGCAGAGGUACUUUGCUAUUCAAAAUGAGAUGUCUUUCAGCUCUAGUAAAAGUAAAGGUUUAAUUUAGUUUGAGCUCGAUUUGCACUCCUUUCCUAAAUUAUAGCUGGGUUAAGAUUACAAAAAUGUGUUUGAAAAUACAAAUUCUCUCAUAUUUCCAAUCAGUGUGUUAGUCUUAGUUGGAUUUAUCUAUUGAUUGUGAGCCCUCAGGCUGGGAACUGUCGUCCUUAAGUAAAACGUUUCUAUGUUUACCGAGUUAUACAACAAUAUUAAGAGGAUGAUGUUACAGAAGACUAGGUCAGAAUCAAGUGCGUCACUCCACAGCAAGAAAUCAGCUGCCUGGGAUACCAGAGUAGAUUAUUAAUUCAAUAAGGAGAUGAUGAAGUGUUUUUCUGCUGCAUUUUAACAACAUCUUAUGAUGACUACAAUGAUAGAGUAAACUCAUCCAGGAUUUAAAGUGCGUCCAUGAAUUCCCUGGAUACAAUAUUUAACGAGGUUCAUUUCUAAUUAACGUUCAUCAGUUCAUAUAUAUUCACCAGCAAAAAAGAAUCAGAAAUGAUGAAAAGUGCAGCUGUUGACCGCUCACUAGGAGCUCCACCACACUGAAUAUUCAUAAAAUGCUGUAUUUAAAAUUACUCUAUUCAAAUGACCAAUUUCGUCUUUCAAAAGGUAGUAUUGAUGGAUCACACACACACACACACACACACACACACACACACACACACACACACACACACACACACACACACACACACACACACACACACAC